CAGUGAAAUUGAACUCGCUGUGAAGAUGCAGUGUACCCGCGGCAAGACGGAAAGACCCCGUGAACCUUUACUAUAGCUUGACACUGAACAUUGAGCCUUGAUGUGUAGGAUAGGUGGGAGGCUUUGAAGUGUGGACGCCAGUCUGCAUGGAGCCGACCUUGAAAUACCACCCUUUAAUGUUUGAUGUUCUAACGUGGACCCGUGAUCCGGGUUGCGGACAGUGUCUGGUGGGUAGUUUGACUGGGGCGGUCUCCUCCUAAAGAGUAACGGAGGAGCACGAAGGUUGGCUAAUCCUGGUCGGACAUCAGGAGGUUAGUGCAAUGGCAUAAGCCAGCUUGACUGCGAGCGUGACGGCGCGAGCAGGUGCGAAAGCAGGUCAUAGUGAUCCGGUGGUUCUGAAUGGAAGGGCCAUCGCUCAACGGAUAAAAGGUACUCCGGGGAUAACAGGCUGAUACCGCCCAAGAGUUCAUAUCGACGGCGGUGUUUGGCACCUCGAUGUCGGCUCAUCACAUCCUGGGGCUGAAGUAGGUCCCAAGGGUAUGGCUGUUCGCCAUUUAAAGUGGUACGCGAGCUGGGUUUAGAACGUCGUGAGACAGUUCGGUCCCUAUCUGCCGUGGGCGCUGGAGAACUGAGGGGGGCUGCUC
rnacentral:rRNA from 1 species